AUGACGAGCCGAGAUCUCUCGCCGCCAGAUACCGGGAUGUUCAGCUUCAGUUCACCCUUUCCUCUUUCCUUCCAGCCGCCGUCGAGGUACUCGUAUAUAGCAGAGUCAGCAGUGAAUACAGCCUUCUCAUUCUCUUCGCCAGUUUCAACUGGGCCCUCUGACAUGGCAAAUUUCUUCGGUGCGUCUGCUGCAGUGGCGAGUGAUGGGGCAGAACUCCCAUUGUUCGGAGCACCCAUGUUGAAAGAAGGGAAUGAUGAGCCAUCACUCUUUAGCCCAAAUAGGGGAGCAUUUGAGCUGUCUUUAGAGCCCGAGCCAAAUGAAAAUGAUGAGCCUGAAAAUCCAGUUCCAGCCAGUCCUGUGAAAGCAUUUUGGCCACUUGACAGAUUGGUGAAGGAGAAAAGAGGUGUCGGUGAUGAUGACUGCCCUUUGUUAUCAGCAUCCUUCUGCUCAGAUGAUCCAUCCUUGGUCCCUGAUUCAGCUUCAUCAUUUUUCUCAUCAUCAUCCUUGCUGACUUUAUCUUCACCUCCAGCUUCAUCCACUGCUUUCUUCUCUUCAGCAUCUCCAUCAUUUGUUUUGCCCUCAAUUUCAGAUGUCUUGCUGUUAUCUUCCUUGGGUUCUUCAACAACCACUUUGUCCUCACCAGUUCCAUCCACUGUAACUUCUGCCUUGCCGUCUGACUCAACAAGUUGA
rnacentral:rRNA from 1 species